CCUACGGGCGGCAGCAGUGGGGAAUAUUGCACAAUGGGCGCAAGCCUGAUGCAGCCAUGCCGCGUGUGUGAAGAAGGCCUUCGGGUUGUACAGCACUUUCAGCGGGGAGGAAGGCGGUGAGGUUAAUAACCUCAUCGAUUGACGUUACCCGCAGAAGAAGCACCGGCUAACUCCGUGCCAGCAGCCGCGGUAAUACGGAGGGUGCAAGCGUUAAUCGGAAUUACUGGGCGUAAAGCGCACGCAGGCGGUCUGUCAAGUCGGAUGUGAAAUCCCCGGGCUCAACCUGGGAACUGCAUUCGAAACUGGCAGGCUAGAGUCUUGUAGAGGGGGGUAGAAUUCCAGGUGUAGCGGUGAAAUGCGUAGAGAUCUGGAGGAAUACCGGUGGCGAAGGCGGCCCCCUGGACAAAGACUGACGCUCAGGUGCGAAAGGGUGGGGAGCAAACAGGAUUAAUACCCCGGUAGUC
rnacentral:rRNA from 1 species